GAUGAACGCUGGCGGCGUGCCUAACACAUGCAAGUCGAGCGAUUCUCUUCGGAGAAGAGCGGCGGACGGGUGAGUAACGCGUGGGUAACCUGCCCUAUACACAUGGAUAACAUACCGAAAGGUAUGCUAAUACAGGAUAACAUAAGAGAUUCGCAUGGAUUUCUUAUCAAAGCUCCGGCGGUAUAGGAUGGACCCGCGUCUGAUUAGCUAGUUGGUAAGGUAACGGCUUACCAAGGCGACGAUCAGUAGCCGACCUGAGAGGGUGAUCGGCCACAUUGGAACUGAGACACGGUCCAAACUCCUACGGGAGGCAGCAGUGGGGAAUAUUGCACAAUGGGCGAAAGCCUGAUGCAGCAACGCCGCGUGAGUGAUGAAGGCCUUCGGGUCGUAAAACUCUGUCCUCAAGGAAGAUAAUGACGGUACUUGAGGAGGAAGCCCCGGCUAACUACGUGCCAGCAGCCGCGGUAAUACGUAGGGGGCUAGCGUUAUCCGGAUUUACUGGGCGUAAAGGGUGCGUAGGUGGUUUUUUAAGUCAGGAGUGAAAGGCUACGGCUCANCCGUAGUAAGCUCUUGAAACUGAGAAACUUGAGUGCAGGAGAGGAAAGUGGAAUUCCUAGUGUAGCGGUGAAAUGCGUAGAUAUUAGGAGGAACACCAGUAGCGAAGNNGGCUUUCUGGACUGUAGCUGANACUGAGGCACGAAAGCGUGGGGAGCAAACAGGAUUA
rnacentral:rRNA from 1 species